CUUUUCAGUCAUACCACCUUCAGUGCAUGUUCUUGUCAGAUCUUUGAAGCUAAGCAGGGUGGGGCUUGGUUAAUAAUCGGAUGGGAGACCACUGAGACUACUUCGGGUCACUCUGAGGC
rnacentral:rRNA from 1 species